GACGAACGCUGGCGGCGUGCUUAACACAUGCAAGUCGAGCGGAAAGGCCCUUCGGGGUACUCGAGCGGCGAACGGGUGAGUAACACGUGAGUAACCUGCCCUUGGCUCUGGGAUAAGCCCGGGAAACUGGGUCUAAUACCGGAUAUGACCACUGACUGCAUGGUUGGUGGUGGAAAGUUUUUCGGCUGGGGAUGGACUCGCGGUCUAUCAGCUUGUUGGUGGGGUGAUGGCCUACCAAGGCGACGACGGAUAGCCGGCCUGAGAGGGUGACCGGCCACACUGGGACUGAGACACGGCCCAGACUCCUACGGGAGGCAGCAGUGGGGAAUAUUGGACAAUGGGCGAAAGCCUGAUCCAGCAACGCCGCGUGAGGGAUGACGGCCUC
rnacentral:rRNA from 1 species